CCCCUCAAGAUGAGAUUUCCCAACACGUAAGACCCCUUGAAGACGACGAGGUAGAUAGGUUGGAGGUGGAAGUGCAGCAAUGCAUGGAGCUGACCAAUACUAAUCGGUCGAGGGCUUAUCCAA
rnacentral:rRNA from 1 species